UACAGAGGGGGCAAGCGUUGUUCGGAAUUACUGGGCGUAAAGGGCGCGUAGGCGGCCUGCUAAGUCGAACGUGAAAUCCCUGGGCUCAACCCAGGAACUGCGUCCGAUACUGGUUGGCUUGAAUCCGGGAGAGGGAUGCGGAAUUCCAGGUGUAGCGGUGAAAUGCGUAGAUAUCUGGAGGAACACCGGUGGCGAAGGCGGCAUCCUGGACCGGCAUUGACGCUGAGACGCGAAAGCCAGGGGAGCAAACGGG
rnacentral:rRNA from 1 species